AUUUUUCCUCUUUUUCUUCUAAUUAGGUUUUGAAAUCAAUACAAUACUAAAAGCUAAAUAAUCUCAACUCUUAGCAUGUCCACAUCAUCUUAUUAAAUCAACCAAUCAUAACUCUUUUUUUUUGCCACCUCACAUCCUCUUUGUCGACAUGGGCCAGGGCAGUUAAACUUUGUUUGUGGCCCAUUUGAGAUCGUUGUGAUUUCUUCGUGAGACGAAUCCCCUCCAUAGCCAUCGUUUCUACUCCUCCAAAUCUUUGUUACUCUGAAUCAUUGAUUCUACUCUUUACACCUCCAUUCAAGAUAUGAAGAUCAAGCUAUGGAGAUCUGCUCAGUCCUCCGAAAAGACUCCUGCUUCUGUAUAUUUCACUGACAUCUCCUCGGCCCAGCCGAUUCAGAACUAAGCUUUGAGCGUCUCCUUAUCGGACGAACAGCAAUGGCAACACAAAGAAGAGGAGGAGCGUUUUUUGAGGGAGCUAUUGAAGAAGAAGAGUGUGAAGGUGGAGAGUGAGAGAAGAGAAGGCACUUGCUGUAACCUGAGUUAUAAUUUCUUUCCGACUUAUUUCUUAUACUUGGCUCAAUAAAGGUCACACUAUUACUUAGUGUAUGCAAAGAAAAUCAAUAUAUUUCACUUAUAUUGGUAUUCAAAACUUCGUGAGGGAACUUCAAGAGAGAUUUGCUCAGCCCUAUUUCCCGUUUGAACCUGCAGCUGGCAGCAAAAGAUUCUGCAGCCUAAUUGCAGGAUUUAUGAGGACAUACCACCGUAUUCCAAUUAAACAAGAUAACAUUGUCGUGUCUCCAUCAAGGACUGUUGCAAUCGAGAGUGCAUUAUGGUUAUUCUCCCCUUGACUUGCAAUUGUUGAUGAGCAUUUAACUCGACAACUUCCAAGGAGCUGGCUAACUUCUUUAGCCAUUCAGAUUGUCAUACCUAUCAUUUCUGGUUCAUAGAACGGAUCAAAAUGACUUGACAAGGGAUUGCUGAAACCAAAGAGCUGUUUUACCAAUAUGGUGCUUCAGAGAUGCAAGAUGACAUUCCGGUCUAAUGCUUACAUUACUGGACUAAUUAUUAUUGGUGGACUGACUCUGUUUCCUUUUGCCCUCUUGGUCACAAAAUAAAGAUUGGAUCUUCAAGAAUUUUAUGUUGGUGAUGUUUUGAUGUCUUUUUCGAGGGAGGGAUAACAAGACCCUUGAUAAAGACGAAGGUGAUUGCAUUGAAGAUCCAGGAUACAGUGUUGUUUUGAAUGAUCCAAAGAAUAUCAGUUAGCUGUUUGUUAGUGGUUUUUUUAAUAGGGGCUUUCAAGUGCUUCUGCCAUGGCCACUGCUUUGUAUUGGGAGAAAAAUCAUGUAGAUUAGUUGAGAGAUAUGGAGGCUAAAUUGUUUAUGGUUUUAAUUUUUGUUUUGUGUUUUGGAAUGUGAUGUAUAGUGUGCAGAGAGAGAUGUGUAGUGUUAAAUUUUAAAUGCUGUCUAUGUUGUAUUGUAUGGUUUUAUAUUC